rnacentral:rRNA from 1 species
CCUACGGGCGGCAGCAGUGGGGAAUAUUGGACAAUGGGCGAAAGCCUGAUCCAGCCAUGCCGCGUGUGUGAAGAAGGCCUUCGGGUUGUAAAGCACUUUCAGUGGGGAAGAAAGCCUUGGGGCUAAUACCCUCGAGGAAGGACAUCACCCACAGAAGAAGCACCGGCUAACUCCGUGCCAGCAGCCGCGGUAAUACGGAGGGUGCGAGCGUUAAUCGGAAUUACUGGGCGUAAAGCGCGCGUAGGCGGUCUGAUAAGCCGGUUGUGAAAGCCCCGGGCUCAACCUGGGAACGGCAUCCGGAACUGUCAGGCUAGAGUGCAGGAGAGGAAGGUAGAAUUCCCGGUGUAGCGGUGAAAUGCGUAGAGAUCGGGAGGAAUACCAGUGGCGAAGGCGGACUUCUGGACUGACACUGACGCUGAGGUGCGAAAGCGUGGGUAGCAAACAGGAUUAGAUACCCGGGUAGUC